CCUACGGGUGGCUGCAGUGGGGGAUAUUGCACAAUGGGGGAAACCCUGAUGCAGCGACGCCGCGUGUGGGAAGACGGUCUUCUGGAUUGUAAACCACUGUCCCCAGGGACGAAAAUGACGGUACCUGGGGAGGAAGCUCCGGCUAACUAUGUGCCAGCAGCCGCGGUAAUACGUAGGGAGCAAGCGUUGUCCGGAAUUACUGGGUGUAAAGGGAGCGUAGGCGGGGAUGCAAGUUGGGUGUCAGAACUACCGGCUCAACCGAUAGUCGCAGUCCAAACUGCAGCUCUUGAGUGAAGUAGAGGCAGGCGGAAUGCGUGGUGUAGCGGUGAAAUGCGUAGAUAUUAGGAGGAACACCGGUGGCGAAGGCAGCCUGCUGGGCUUUUACUGACGCUGAGGCUCGAAAGUGUGGGGAGCAAACAGGAUUAGAUACCCUGGUAGUC
rnacentral:rRNA from 1 species